GUGAACUCCUUAAAGAAUUAGAAUCUACAAAGUGACAGGCACUUUGAAGGACCCCAGCAAAAACAGGUUAGUGGCUACACUCAAAGUUAAGAAACUGAUCCUGCCGUUUCUCUGUUCACCUUCUUGGAAAGGAAAAGGAAAGUUAGUCACACAGUUGUGUCUGACUGUUUGCAAUCCCAUGGACUGUAGCCUGGCAGGUCCUCUGUCCACGGAAUUCUCCAGCUUCAAGGAUUCGGAUAUUCUGGGGAAACCAAGUGUGAUCUGAAGGUUGAAGCUCAACUGUUCAUUAUUUCUCCAAGUUCUGGGAUAAUGUUAUUAGUUUUUAAGCAUGAGGUGCUUCCCAGGAGAGCUGCUGAGUCCCAACCCGACCAAACCCUUUCACGUCGUGGCCUGUACGAUGCACCAUCAUUGUGGAAUGUCUCUGAGAUGACUUCUGCAGGGACAAGGUACGUUUUCAGUUCCUUGGCGCUUCCCCACUCCUCCUACUGAUGCUUCAUGGACUUACCUCCCAAAUAAACUAGAGUCUCCGGGUCUGCAAAGAAAGAACUCAAGUAGGGCUAGCUUCAUGUGUGUGCGACCUGUGAAAGACCUUGUGUCUAACUGAUUUAACUCCACUGUUGCCAUCUUGAAAUUAUUAAUAAUUCAUAAACAAGGAGCCCCAAGUUUUCAUUUCACACUGGGUCCUGCAAAUUACAUAGUCAGUCUUGAACACAGCUUAAGACAGUGGUCUAGCAUUCCAUUUAGGAUUGGGGUCCUUAAUAACUGUGUUAUUCCUGGGCUCUGAAAUUAUGAUUCAUCAUUCUAUUACAAAGGCGUGAUUGAGAACUUAAGAGAACAACUGAGUUUCACUCUUGUGUCAGGAGUCACAUUUUGUGCUAUAAGACUUUCAUUGGUGAUCACAUAGCUUGGGUUGGGAUUAUUCCUUUAAGGUCAAAAGAAAGCUUAUUAUAUUUGUAAUGUUUCGUCACUGAUGCUCCAUUGGCCCGGUGCUCAUUAUUGCAAUUACACAAACUUUUAUUUUCCUGCAGAAAAAUUUACAAAGAUUUCCACGUCUUUGGGCCCUUCCAAUCAAUUUCUGAAUGUGUGGUGGCAUUUCCCAUGGG
ensembl:lncRNA